UGGAGUCGAGCGGUAACAUUUCUAGCUUGCUAGAAGAUGACGAGCGGCGGACGGGUGAGUAAUGCUUGGGAAUAUGCCUUUACGUGGGGGACAACAGUUGGAAACGACUGCUAAUACCGCAUAAUGUCUUCGGACCAAAGGAGGGGACUCUUCGGAGCCUUUCGCGUAAAGAUUAGCCCAAGUGGGAUUAGCUAGUUGGUAAGGUAAUGGCUUACCAAGGCGACGAUCCCUAGCUGGUUUGAGAGGAUGAUCAGCCACACUGGAACUGAGACACGGUCCAGACUCCUACGGGAGGCAGCAGUGGGGAAUAUUGCACAAUGGGCGAAAGCCUGAUGCAGCCAUGCCGCGUGUGUGAAGAAGGCCUUCGGGUUGUAAAGCACUUUCAGUUGUGAGGAAGAGGUAGGAGUUAAUAGCUGUUAUCUUUGACGUUAGCAACAGAAGAAGGACCGGCUAACUCCGUGCCAGCAGCCGCGGUAAUACGGAGGGUCCGAGCGUUAAUCGGAAUUACUGGGCGUAAAGCGUACGCAGGCGGCUUUUUAAGCCAGAUGUGAAAUCCCCGGGCUCAACCUGGGAAUGGCAUUUGGAACUGGAAAGCUAGAGUUUUGUAGAGGGUGGUAGAAUUUCAGGUGUAGCGGUGAAAUGCGUAGAGAUCUGAAGGAAUACCAGUGGCGAAGGCGGCCACCUGGACAAAAACUGACGCUCAUGUACGAAAGCGUGGGG
rnacentral:rRNA from 1 species